rfam:Acyrthosiphon pisum strain LSR1 Contig35174, whole genome shotgun sequence.
GUUCUUACAAUAUCCGGUUAGCGUUAACCGACACUUUACCGGACAUUGUAAAAACGG